rnacentral:misc_RNA from 1 species
GUGAAUCAUCAAAUCUUUGAACGCAAAUUGCACUCUCCUCGGAGAGUAUGCCUGUUUGAGGGUCAGCCUAUAAAAAAUCGACAUCGUUGCUGUUUCGCGGUGGCGUUCGUCGGAAAUUGGGUCAUCUUAAAUCUUUUGGGUUUAUGCGCGUUUAAAUUUUUUUUUUGUGUCUAUAUACGUUUUUCA